GUGGCUGUGGCUCAGGGGCAGGGCCCUUGCCUACCAUGUGUGAAGCACUGGGUUCAAUCCCCAGCGCCACA
rnacentral:tRNA from 1 species